UACUCAAAAAAAAAAAAAAAACUGAAACAUAUUGUGUAAAAGGAGUACUAAUUGAUGUCUUCUCAGCAAUUUCCUCCUUCCGAUUCAUUAUGCCUUCUUUUUUUACGGGAAACUUCUUUCUUGCCUUCAUUAUGCCUUCCGAUUUUAGUUGAUGAAGGUAAUGGAGAGCUUCAAGCUUUGGAUGUGCCGACGAGAGGUUGAAGGCGAAUGCUUCUUCUGGCGUCGUCGAAGAUCGCCUUCUCUCUCAUCUCAGCCAGGUUUUGAUUCUGUCUAUUGAAUGAACAUCACUUUGAAACAUCUGAAGUUGGGCUGCUUGCGAGGUGUUUUUGUGUUCCUCUUGUUUCAAUGCGAGUUGGGAAGAGUGAUCCUAAACUUGCUCAAGCCAUAUCUGGGAAUGAUCUGAAUAGACUACAACUCAAACGCCGAAAAACCCAGCAAAUCAACCGCAACAACUCAUCCUCUUGAGAAUGCAUGGACUUUUUGGUUCAAUAAUCUUACUGCUAAAUCGAAACAAGCUGCUGGGGUAGCUCAUUCGACCCAUUUACACUUUCUCUACCGUUGAAGAAUUCUGGAAGUUUCUCUUUUUAUCUUAGUUUUUUAUAUUAAUUUGAUUGUGAAUUUAUUGAAUUUGGUUUGUUUGAAUCUUUUUGUGAUGUGGGUGAUUGAAUUAGGGUUUUGAGUUCGUUUUCUUGGAGAAAUGUUAUGUGGGUGACUAAGGUUUUCUUGUGUGAUUUUGUUUAGUUUGAUUUCUUGCGUUAGUUUCUUGAUUAGCGUAGCUAAAUGUUGAUCAUUAUGCUUGGAUUGAGAAAUGGGAAUGUUGAAUUUGUGAAUCAGGGUUAAUGGUUUAUGUGAACAACUUGAUUUUUCUGAGGCAUUGGAUAGGAUUAGUGAGGGUUUCUUGUGAUAUUUAUGGAUUUAAUAGUCUAAUAUCGUCAAUUUUUUCAACUGUCAUUUGGUAUAUUGUUGAUGAUAAUAUUUAGGGGGAAGAGAAGGAUUUAGCUCUUUCAUACAGAUUGGAGCAUUCGUUUCGGAUAUUGGAAGAACCGUAUUGCCGGAAUACCGGGUUAUUGGAUUUGCUUGCAAGAACAAUAUCAUAGGUCUAUUGCCUUCACAACAACAUACGCCAUCCAAACAAAUUGGCUGUAGGGGCAGAUUUUCACUGUUUCAACAAUAAGAUUGAGCCUAAAUGGGAGGAUCCAAUCUGUCCUAAUGGAGGCAAGUGGACAGUUACCUUCCAAAAAGGAAAAUCUGGUACAUCUUGGUUCUACACGCUGUUGGCGAUGAUAGGGGAGCAGUUUGAUCAUGGAGAUGAGAUGUGUGGAGCAGUUGUCGAUGUUAGGGCUAGGCAAGAAAAAAUAUCCAUAAGGACCAAGAAUGCUGCCAAUGAAUUUGCUCAGUUACAAGAAGGUUAACCAUUCUCAAGGCGGACAAUCAAGGGGAAAUUCUGGACCUGUAACUCCUGAUUUUAAUGCUGCUACCAGAUCACGUUAUGCAAAAAUUGGUGGCCAUGUGCAGUCCACAUUACAAGCAUUGGAGCAGCUUCUGCUGAACAUCCCACUGCUGAUGUCUUUAUCCAAUUUGUUUCUUAUAGAAGAGCUCAACCUCUAUAGGCUGCAUUUAAAGAUGACAAGCAAUCAACAGUUUUUUGUUUUCAAUAAAGUUUUUGGAAUGCAAACUGCUCAAUCCAUUUUGUGAAGCAUUUCAGGGCUGCUGCCUUGAGACAUUUCAGCAAAGAGAGCGUGCAAAGGAAGCUUCUGGGUUGCUGGAGGAAGUAAGCAGUUUUAAGAAAUGAAAGUUGGCCCUUGUUGGGCCUAUGCUGGAAAGGUCUCUUCCAUUGAUUAUAUCCCAUAUGGGAAGAACAAAGGUCUUUUAACCACAAAACAGAAUGAGCAAGAGUGGGUGGAAUACCGAGAUGUGAUGGAAGAAGUAGUCAAGAAGAGUUGACUUGACAAGAGCAUCUUCUAUGAUCAUAGAGGCAACCAUGAUAAUUUGGGUGUGGCUUUCAUUGGUGGCAGCUUUGAUUUUUUUUUUUCAAACUACAGUCUAAAUGCCGAGGCAGGAAGAACUGGACAUAUAAACAGUGUCACACUUCAGCUUCACUACUUGCUCUUCAAAUGGCAUAUUUGAUGUCUAUGCUAAUGAGAUCCCUGAUGAUAAUGUGACGAGUGCACUAACUCCUAAGGACCGUGGCUUGAUUACUUAUGUGCGAAGGAGGAGGGGUCAGCCAAGUAAUGAGGAGCCAAUGAGGGGAGGUCUGUCAAGGAAUGUGACAGCAGGGCAGUCACCACCAAAUCAGUGAGGCACCCCCUGAGAUCAUGACAGCUGCUGCAUCUUUGUUUUGUCCUUCUUUUGUCAGCUUGUGUAUAUAUAAGAAAGGGAGGGUAGGAAUGGCAGGUUAGGCAUGACCAUAGUAAUUUUCUAGGACUAGAGAGUGGUGCCCUAAAGGUGCUAAAUAGAGACUAGUAGCCUCAAGUUACUCUUGUUUGCCAUUUCCAUUUUCAAGUUAAUCAAAAAGCUGUCCAUCUUCCCCAAGAUUGAAUCUUUAUUGCAUAAUUCGAUUUUAUUACAAGUCAUUAACUGCUAGUUUGUUACAGAUAACUCUCCUUAGGUCUUAGCUGGUUGUUGAUUGCUAUCUUUUUAUGUCCUCACAUAGCAUCAAGGUUGUUUAUUGCUAUCCUUUUGUGUAUCCAGAUAGUUUUUAGGUUGUUUAUUGUUAUCUUUUUGCUGGCCUUGUAUAACUUAUAUCUAUAUUUUGUUGGAUGCUUCAAGCUUUCAACUAAAAACUCUGUCUUUUUGUUUA